CAGAUUAUAGCUUAUUUAUUAAAGCUUUUUAUUUACACUAAUAGGAAAACUAAGAUUAGUUUAAUCUGA
rnacentral:tRNA from 1 species